rnacentral:rRNA from 1 species
AGUCUGGCGCAGCUGAUGCAGCAUGCCGCGUGAAUGAUGAAGGCCUUCGGGUCGUAAAGCUCUGUCAUUGGGGAGGAAGGAUGUGUAAGUAACUGUGCACAUCUUGACGGUACCUAAUCAAAAAGCCCCGGCUAACUCCGUGCCAGCAGCCGCGGUAAUACGGAGGGGGCAAGCGUUAUUCGGAAUUAUUGGGCGUAAAGCGCGCGCAGGCGGUUUGUUAAGUCUGAUGUGAAAUCCCCGGGCUCAACCGGGGAACUGCAUUGGAAACUGGGAAACUUGAGUCUCGAAGAGGAAAGUGGAAUUCCAUGUGUAGCGGUGAAAUGCGCAGAGAUCUGGAGGAACACCGGUGGCGAAGGCGACUUCCUGGACUGUAACUGACGCUCAUGUGCGAAAGCGUGGGGAUCAAACAGGAUUAGAUACCCUGGUAGUCCACGCCGUAAACGAUGACUGCUUGGAGGUUGGGGCCUUCCGCCCCGUAUUGCUGAGCUUAACCCAUUAAUCACCCCCCCGGGGAAGACCGACCCCAGGGUUAAACCUCAAUGA